CCUACGGGUGGCAGCAGUGAGGAAUAUUGGUCAAUGGGCGCGAGCCUGAACCAGCCAAGUAGCGUGAAGGAUGACUGCCCUACGGGUUGUAAACUUCUUUUAUAAAGGAAUAAAGUGAGGCACGUGUGCCUUUUUGUAUGUACUUUAUGAAUAAGGAUCGGCUCACUCCGUGCCAGCAGCCGCGGUAAUACGGAGGAUCCGAGCGUUAUCCGGAUUUAUUUGGUUUAAAGGGAGCGUAGAGGGGUUGUUAAGUCAGUUGUGAAAGUUUGCGGCUCAACCGGAAAAUUGCAAUUGAUACUGGCAGUCUUGUGUCCAGUUGAGGUAGGCGGAAUUCGUGGUGUAGCGGUGAAAUGCUUAGAUAUCACGAAGAACUCCGAUUGCGAAGGCAGCUUACUAACCUGCCCCUGACAUUGAUGCUCGAAAGUGUGGGUAUCAAACAGGAUUAGCUACCCUUGUAGUC
rnacentral:rRNA from 1 species